AUUGAACGCUGGCGGCAUGCCUUACACAUGCAAGUCGAACGGCAGCGGACCUUCGGGUGCCGGCGAGUGGCGAACGGGUGAGUAAUAUAUCGGAACGUACCUUUCAGUGGGGGAUAACGUAGCGAAAGUUACGCUAAUACCGCAUAUUCUGUGAGCAGGAAAGCAGGGGAUCGCAAGACCUUGCGCUGAUUGAGCGGCCGAUAUCAGAUUAGCUAGUUGGUGAGGUAAAGGCUCACCAAGGCGACGAUCUGUAGCGGGUCUGAGAGGAUGAUCCGCCACACUGGACCUGAGACACGGUCCAGACUCCUACGGGAGGCAGCAGUGGGGAAUUUUGGACAAUGAGCGCAAGCCUGAUCCAGCCAUGCCGCGUGAGUGAAGAAGGCCUCGGUUGUAAGUAC
rnacentral:rRNA from 1 species